rnacentral:rRNA from 1 species
AGCAGCCGCGGUAAUUCCAGCUCCAAUAGCGUAUAUUAAAGUUGUUGCAGUUAAAAAGCUCGUAGUUGAAUUUCGGGGUUUAUCCGUUGGUCGGGCUUUUGGGUCUGUACUGGCGUGAUGGAUUCCUACCUUCUGAAUAACCAGCAUGUCAUUAAUUUGGUGCGCUGGGGAAGCAGGACUGUUACCUUGAAAAAAUUAGAGUGCUUAAAGCAGGCUAUUGCCUGAAUACAUUAGCAUGGAAUAAUGAAAUAGGACGUAUGGUUCUAUUUUGUUGGUUUCUAGGAUCACCGUAAUGAUUAAUAGGGAUAGUUGGGGGCAUUAGUAUUCAAUUGUCAGAGGUGAAAUUCUUGGAUUUAUUGAAGACUAACUUCUGCGAAAGCAUUUGCCAAGGAUGUUUUCAUUAAUCAAGAACGAAAGUUAGGGGAUCGAAGACGAUCAGAUACCGUCGUA